AGAACGAGAACAGUCUUAACACUACAUAAAAUAUAAACUAAGAUAACAUAACAUGUUUCAGUGUAGGUAGUGACGAAUGAACAAUAGAGAA